GCCAUUGUGGUGUAAUGGUCAGCACAUUCGGCGCGUAUUCGAGAGGUCCGAGGUUCGAGUCCCGGCGAGGGUA
rnacentral:tRNA from 1 species